rnacentral:rRNA from 1 species
AGUGAACGUUGGCGGUAUGGAUGAGGCAUGCAAGUCGAGCGGAAAGGCUCCUUCGGGAGUACUCGAGCGGCGAAAAGGGUGAGUAAUAAAUGGCUAACGUACCCUAGAGUGGGGAAUAACUUCGAGAAAUCGGAGCUAAUACCGCAUAAGACCACAGCGUCGCAUGGCGCAGAGGUCAAAGGGGGCUUCGGCUCUCGCUUUAGGAGCGGGCCAUUUGAUAUCAGCUUGUUGGUGAGGUAACGGCUCACCAAGGCUACGACGUCUAGCCGGUCUGAGAGGAUGGCUGGCCANACCGGGGACUGAGACAC